AUUGAACGCUGGCGGCAGGCCUAACACAUGCAAGUCGGACGGUAGCACAGAGAGCUUGCUCUCGGGUGACGAGUGGCGGACGGGUGAGUAAUGUCUGGGGAUCUGCCCGAUAGAGGGGGAUAACCACUGGAAACGGUGGCUAAUACCGCAUAACGUCGCAAGACCAAAGAGGGGGACCUUCGGGCCUCUCCCUAGCGGAUGAACCCAGAUGGGAUUAGCUAGUAGGCGGGGUAACGGCCCACCUAGGCGACGAUCCCUAGCUGGUCUGGGAGGAUGACCAGCCACACUGGAACUGAGACACGGUCCAGACUCCUACGGGAGGCAGCAGUGGGGAAUAUUGCACAAUGGGCGCAAGCCUGAUGCAGCCAUGCCGCGUGUAUGAAGAAGGCCUUCGGGUUGUAAAGUACUUUCAGCGGGGAGGAAGGCGAUGUGGUUAAUAACCGCGUCGAUUGACGUUACCCGCAGAAGAAGCACCGGCUAACUCCGUGCCAGCAGCCGCCGUA
rnacentral:rRNA from 1 species